UUUCUUUCCUCAGCAGCACAUAUUCUAAAAUUGGAAUGAUACAUCUCGGACUCUCCACAAGGAUGACACACAAAUUCGUGAUGUCUUUCAUACUUUU
rnacentral:snRNA from 14 species